AACGAACGCUGGCGGCAUGCCUAACACAUGCAAGUCGAACGAGAUCUUCGGGUCUAGUGGCGCACGGGUGCGUAACGCGUGGGAAUCUGCCCUUUGGUUCGGAAUAACAGUUGGAAACGACUGCUAAUACCGGAUGAUGACGAAAGUCCAAAGAUUUAUCGCCAGAGGAUGAGCCCGCGUAGGAUUAGCUGGUUGGUGUGGUAAAGGCGCACCAAGGCGACGAUCCUUAGCUGGUCUGAGAGGAUGAUCAGCCACACUGGGACUGAGACACGGCCCAGACUCCUACGGGAGGCAGCAGUGGGGAAUAUUGGACAAUGGGCGAAAGCCUGAUCCAGCAAUGCCGCGUGAGUGAUGAAGGCCUUAGGGUUGUAAAGCUCUUUUACCCGGGAUGAUAAUGACAGUACCGGGAGAAUAAGCUCCGGCUAACCCCGUGCCAGCCGCCGCAGUAA
rnacentral:rRNA from 1 species